rnacentral:misc_RNA from 1 species
CCAGCUUAUCGAAAUUUUCUUGGGAAUAACAACAGCAAUGUUAGUGACAAGCAUGUUAAGUACACUACAGAUGAUUUGGAGGAACUGCUCUUGGAUCUUUUUGUUGGAUCACCAAGAUCACUGCGAAAUUCGCGCAGGAGGUGAAGUCUCAAUGCUGUUGAUUUUCAACCAUUUGUUGCUCAUUAUUGUGUUCCCCUAGCCAUGUAAUUAUUUUCAUAGAUGUAUAUUAGAAUUAUCAUUAGCCCGUUGUCAAAUUUCUCAAGUCAAAUUUGAUUGUAGCCUUGUUACAUGUACAAUUACAUGUACUUUACAUCAAUCCACACAAUUUAAGUAUUGC